UGGUAGGGCCUGUGGUGAGGCACAGUGAGGUUGGGGAGGUCUUGUUGUGGGGGAUUGGAUCCGGGCCUGGGUGCAGGGACUUUAAAGUGCUGGAGUACACAGUCACAGUGCCGUGUCCUGUGCCGUGCCACCUGUAUUCGAAGACCAUUGUUUCCUUCUUUCCUUCCUUCCUUCCUUCCUUCCUUCCUUCCUUCCAUCCAUCCUUCCUUCCUUCCUUCUUUCAUGCAAACAUCCUCCAUGGGCCAGGACCAGAGGCAGAACUGGUCCAGGAGAGGGAGACCCAGCUGCAGCUUCCCCAGGAGCUCUGGCACCUCUUUCCUGCAAGUCUCUUCCUGGAAUGAGACCCGCCUGCUGGUGGACUCUCUGACCUGGAGCUGGCAGCCUGUGCCCUGGCUGCACCUCUCACACUGUGAGCUGUGGGCAGGGCUUUCUGCUGCCACGUCCCUUGCUGCCUCUCCACUUAAUUGAGCGAAUGCGCUUCUCUUUAUUUUUGGUUUGCAUUUGGUUUCUGCCACUUGUCACCAAGAUAUCAUCACUGUGCACCCAGUUCUAUGGCUCCCACGCCCUCUUGGCCUGAGUAUCCUCUCUGGAACCUGGGCUCCUGACACCUUAAAGUAGAGCUCGACGACACUAUGGGCCUGGGUCCAUCCUUGGAGUCUCUAGGCUGAAAGAGCAUGGAUCUGGACUACAGACCAGAGGGGCCCUGUAGCAGCUCGUCCGCAGGUGGGUCACCUCGGCUCUGCCCUCUGGUCUUGAGAUGACUGUUUCCUGCUGGUUUUGGUCUCAUCUCUGAACCACCUCCCUCCAUCCCUGGGACAGGAGCUGUUUACUGAAUACUGCCAAUGCCCAAUGAUGGUUUGUUAAUGUCCUUUACAAAAUGUAGAGCAAGAAACAGAGGACAUUUCUUGAGAUGGAGGAGGAUAGCAGUUCUCUCCAGCUAGAGUAAACCCCAGUGAAGACUCGAGUCCAUGUUUCCCCUGUGCUCCCUCUGCCUCCUGACCAACCUGGUACUUCUCCGUGUGGCCCUGCACAGCCUGCCCUGCCUCCUGUUUCCAGGGAUCUGUAUGAAAACUUCUUCCUCAUGACAGUCAUCUUCAUGUUUGUGUGUCUCAUCACACCUGAUGUUUCACUGGGCAAGUUCACUUUCACAGAGCUGCAGUCACUCCUAAGCCUGAGCCCACGUGACCACGAUUCUGCUUCGUCUCUGAUCACAGCUGCAGUUCCUGGCCAUGUGACUCUGGACAAAUCCCUUCUCCUCUCAGAGCCUCCAUUUCCUCAUCAGUAAGAUGGACAUAGAAACAGCAUAAGCAAUUGUAUUAUUUAAGGGAAUGCCAAAACAGAGAAACCUUGAGGUCUCAAUGACUUAACACAGUAGAAGUUGGUUUCUCAAUCAUGGAUGGUCUGGAAUGAACAUUGAUGAUUGUUGGCUGUGGGGGAAAGUGAGUGAGGGGCCUCUGCUCUCUCAGUCAUCCUGAGGUCAAGGUCGAUAGGCCUCCUCCAUCUCUAACCCACAGCUUCCCAGGUCCCCCCAGGGGGCCAGCAUUAAAAAUCUUGUGGAAGGAUCUGGAAGCAGCACGAGUCUUCUCUCUGUACAUCCUGCUGGCCAGACACAGUCAUACAAUACAACCUAGUGACAGGGAAGAUUGGGAGAUGCCAUUUGGCAGUAUGCCAGGAAGAGUAGUAAGCAGGUUUGAUGCUGAGCUUGCAGACUCUGCCACAAAAGUCAUUGUAUUAACAGUAGGAAAGGCCAUGAGGUCAGACCUCUUAAAAUGGGACCAACAUUUUCUAGUAUGUGUGAAAAAAAUGACUCUGCCUUAAAAAAUGAAAUGGAAAAUUCUGAGCACAAGUUUAUUCUGUCCUUUAUUUAAUACAUUUAGGUUAAAUUUAAAAUGUUGUAUUAGAACUCUUUCCCUUUUUAACGCGAAAUAAUCCAUUGUAAGGAGAUGCUGCAUUUUGUGUAUCCAUUCAUCUGUUGAGGGACACUGGCUUGUUUCCACUGUUGGCUACUGUGAGUAAUGCUGCUAUGAACAUUCUAUACAAGUCUCUGACUCCCUGUUUGCAGUUUCUUUGGGUAUAUACCUAGAAGUAGAAUUGGUGGAUCAUAUGGUAACUUCAGGCGUAGCUUUUUGAGGAACUGCCAACUGUUUUCUAUAAUGGCUGCACUAUUUUACGUUUCUACCAGGAAUGUUUGAGGAUUACAAUUUCUCCACAUCCUUGACAAUGUUUAUUUUCUGUUUUUUGUAUUUUUUUUAAAUAGCCAUCCUAG
rnacentral:lncRNA from 1 species